rnacentral:rRNA from 1 species
AACGAACGCUGGCGGCAGGCCUAACACAUGCAAGUCGAACGCCCUAGCAAUAGGGAGUGGCAGACGGGUGAGUAACGCGUGGGAACGUGCCUUUCGGUUCGGAAUAACUCAGGGAAACUUGAGCUAAUACCGGAUACGCCCUUCGGGGGAAAGAUUUAUUGCCGAAAGAUCGGCCCGCGUCCGAUUAGCUAGUUGGUGAGGUAAAGGCUCACCAAGGCGACGAUCGGUAGCUGGUCUGAGAGGAUGAUCAGCCAUACUGGGACUGAGACACGGCCCAGACUCCUACGGGAGGCAGCAGUGGGGAAUAUUGGACAAUGGGCGCAAGCCUGAUCCAGCCAUGCCGCGUGGGUGAUGAAGGCCCUAGGGUUGUAAAGCUCUUUCGCCAGGGACGAUAAUGACGGUACCUGGAUAAGAAGCCCCGGCUAACUUCGUGCCAGCAGCCGCCGUAA